rnacentral:lncRNA from 1 species
UCAGCUGUUGGUAGAGGAUUACUACUAGAUGUGGGUAGAUGUUCAGCCUUAGUGCAAGAUUCUAUUGUUGUGCUAGAGCCAUCUAAUCAUUGCUCGAUAUUUUGUUUUCACUGGCCAUCAAGACACUACCUCUAGAAGUUAUGCAUAUGCUUUGAGUUCUACCUCCUUAGACUAGCGCAUUACCCUAUCUGGGAUUUGUUGAGCCAAGGUUGACUACAAGAGAGAGAUAGGAGGGAU